AUUGAACGCUGGCGGCAGGCCUAACACAUGCAAGUCGAGCGGAUGAAGAGAACUUGCUCUCUGAUUCAGCGGCGGACGGGUGAGUAAUGCCUAGGAAUCUGCCUGGUAGUGGGGGACAACGUUUCGAAAGGAACGCUAAUACCGCAUACGUCCUACGGGAGAAAGUGGGGGAUCUUCGGACCUCACGCUAUCAGAUGAGCCUAGGUACGAUUAGCUAGUUGGUGAGGUAAAGGCUCACCAAGGCGACGAUCGUUAACUGGUCUGAGAGGAUGAGCAGUCACACUGGAACUGGGACACGGUCCAGACUCCGACGGGAGGCAGCAGUGGGGAAUAUUGGACAAUGGGCGAAAGCCUGAUCCAGCCAUGCCGCGUGUGUGAAGAAGGUCUUCGGAUUGUAAAGCACUUUAAGUUGGGAGGAAGGGCAGUAAGUUAAUACCUUGCUGUUUUGACGUUACCGACAGAAUAAGCACCGGCUAACUUCGUGCCAGCAGCCGCCGUAAAAC
rnacentral:rRNA from 1 species